UACAGAGGGGGCGAGCGUUGUUCGGAAUUACUGGGCGUAAAGGGCGCGUAGGCGGCCAACUAAGUCAGACGUGAAAUCCCUCGGCUCAACCGGGGAACUGCGUCUGAUACUGGAUGGCUUGAAUUCGGGAGAGGGAUGCGGAAUUCCAGGUGUAGCGGUGAAAUGCGUAGAUAUCUGGAGGAACACCGGUGGCGAAGGCGGCGACCUGGUCCGAUACUGACGCUGAGGCGCGAAAGCGUGGGGAGCAAACAGG
rnacentral:rRNA from 1 species